rnacentral:rRNA from 1 species
UUAAUUGAAGAGUUUGAUCAUGGCUCAGAUUGAACGCUGGCGGCAGGCCUAACACAUGCAAGUCGAGCGGCAGCACAGAGGAACUUGUUCCUUGGGUGGCGAGCGGCGGACGGGUGAGUAAUGCCUGGGAAAUUGCCCGGUAGAGGGGGGAUAACCAUUGGAAACGAUGGCUAAUACCGCAUAACCUCGCAAGAGCAAAGCAGGGGACC